rnacentral:rRNA from 1 species
GUGGGGAAUAUUGCACAAUGGGCGCAAGCCUGAUGCAGCCAUGCCGCGUGUGUGAAGAAGGCCUUCGGGUUGUAAAGCACUUUCAGCGGGGAGGAAGGCGAUAAGGUUAAUAACCUUGUCGAUUGACGUUACCCGCAGAAGAAGCACCGGCUAACUCCGUGCCAGCAGCCGCGGUAAUACGGAGGGUGCAAGCGUUAAUCGGAAUUACUGGGCGUAAAGCGCACGCAGGCGGUCUGUCAAGUCGGAUGUGAAAUCCCCGGGCUCAACCUGGGAACUGCAUUCGAAACUGGCAGGCUAGAGUCUUGUAGAGGGGGGUAGAAUUCCAGGUGUAGCGGUGAAAUGCGUAGAGAUCUGGAGGAAUACCGGUGGCGAAGGCGGCCCCUGGACAAAGACUGACGCUCAGGUGCGAAAGCGUGGGGAGCAAACAGGAUUAGAUACCCUAGUAGUCC